rnacentral:rRNA from 1 species
CAAUACAAAGGGCAGCUAAACCGCGAGGUCAAGCAAAUCCCAUAAAGUUGUUCUCAGUUCGGAUUGUAGUCUGCAACUCGACUACAUGAAGCUGGAAUCGCUAGUAAUCGUAGAUCAGCAUGCUACGGUGAAUACGUUCCCGGGUCUUGUACACACCGCCCGUCACACCACGAGAGUUUGUAACACCCGAAGCCGGUGGAGUAACCAUUUAUGGAGCUAGCCGUCGAAGGUGGGACAAAUGAUUGGGGUGAAGUCGUAACAAGGUAGCCGUAUCGGAAGGUGCGGCUGGAUCACCUCCUUUCUAAGGA